UGGGCUGGCCGUAGGGCCCGGGUCCAACCAACUGGCGGGCAUACAGCCC
rnacentral:sRNA from 12 species